GACGAACGCUGGCGGCGUGCUUAACACAUGCAAGUCGAACGGAAAGGCCCUGCUUUUGUGGGGUGCUCGAGUGGCGAACGGGUGAGUAACACGUGAGUAACCUGCCCUUGACUUUGGGAUAACUUCAGGAAAAUGGGGCUAAUACCGGAUAGGAGCUCCUGCUGCAUGGUGGGGGUUGGAAAGUUUCGGCGGUUGGGGAUGGACUCGCGGCUUAUCAGCUUGUUGGUGGGGUAGUGGCUUACCAAGGCUUUGACGGGUAGCCGGCCUGAGAGGGUGACCGGCCACAUUGGGACUGAGAUACGGCACAGACUCCUACGGGAGGCAGCAGUGGGGAAUAUUGCACAAUGGGCGGAAGCCUGAUGCAGCAACGCCGCGUGCGGGAUGACGGCCUUCGGGUUGUAAACCGCUUUCGCCUGUGACGAAGCGUGAGUGACGGUAAUGGGUAAAGAAGCACCGGCUAACUACGUG
rnacentral:rRNA from 1 species